rnacentral:lncRNA from 1 species
CCACUCGCACUCAGGCCCCACCUACUCCUUCCAAAGUCUCCUUGUUCCUGAAGCCUGUUGUACUUCUGAAAGCCACCCCCUCUCUUCUUUGAAGAUGAAAGUCAUCUUCAGAGGAAGGCUGACAUUCUUAGCCAAUGAAAGAACAAAGAUUUUGGGUUAAGGGCAUAUGAAUCAACCUUCCAGGGUGACCAUGACUAUCCUUGAGAAAACCAACCGAUUCUAUUUCCAUCCACAAAAUAGGAUACUAGGAGGACCUACCUCAGGAGGUGGUGAGGACCAAGCAAAAUUGUGGCCACACGCGCCAAGUGCUUACUGACCGCACAGCAAAGACUCAACAGCUAAGCUGUUUUGAUUAAAUGAUGUCUGCUAAAUUCCUCCGAGCUUCCUCUUGAAGUCCCUAUCUCUUCUCCAAGAUCCACCUCCUAAAUCCUGCUCACUUUUUCCUUAAGCUCAGGCUUUAGGUAAACCCCUUUCUUUCCAAGGUCCCAUCACUCUCCCUCUCUUGCCACCUCAGCCAUUCCUCUCUGACACCAUCCCCAUCUUCUCUAAGUCAUUUCACCUGCAGUUAUAAAGACCUAUUUCCACUAAAGCGAAGCGAAAUCGCUCAGUCGUGUCCGACUCUUUGCGACCCCAUGGACUGUGGCCCACCAGGNNNNNNNNNNNNNNNNNNNNNNNNNNNNNNNNNACUGGAGUGGGUUGCUAUUUCCUUCUCCAGGGGAUCUUCCCGACCCGGGAAUCGAACCCAUGUCUCCCGCAUUGCGAGCAGACGCUUUACCGUCUUAGCAACCAGGGAAUCCCAAUUUCCACCACGGACUUUCCACUAAAGACGCCCCCAAAUUACACGCUUAAGCCCCACCCCCCUCCACUAUGCCCAUCACUUUCUGAAAGCUUCAUCCCUAGACAAACUCCACCCCUUCUAGCUCCUCCCACCUCCACAAUGAACCCUUUUCCCCACUCAGCCCCAGUAGGGACCCUUCAACCUAGGGCCCGCCUACCAGUCUCCCGGAGCCACGCCCCUUCGUAAAACCUCGCCCCUUGCCCAAGCCCCUCCCAUUUCGACCACAGUCCCGCCCACUCGCGAAGCCACG